rnacentral:tRNA from 1 species
AAUAAAAUGGCUGAAUUAUAGGCAGUAAAUUGUAAAUUUACUUAUGAGUAACCCUCUUUUAUU